UACGAAGGGGGCUAACGUUGCUCGGAUUGACUGGGCGUAAAGGGCGCGUAGGCGGUUCGUACAGUCAGACGUGAAAUUCCUGGGCUCAACCUGGGGGCUGCGUUUGAUACGUGCGGACUUGAGUGCGGAAGAGGGUCGUGGAAUUCCCAGUGUAGAGGUGAAAUUCGUAGAUAUUGGGAAGAACACCGGUGGCGAAGGCGGCGACCUGGUCCGAUACUGACGCUGAGGCGCGAAAGCGUGGGGAGCAAACAGG
rnacentral:rRNA from 1 species